GCAGCCGCCGCGGGAAUACGGAGGGUGCAAGCGUUAAUCGGAAUUACUGGGCGUAAAGCGCACGCAGGCGGUCUGACAAGUCAGAUGUGAAAUCCCCGGGCUUAACCUGGGAACUGCAUUUGAAACUGUCAGGCUGGAGUCUUGUAGAGGGGGGUGGAAUUCCAGGUGUAGCGGUGAAAUGCGUAGAGAUCUGGAGGAAUACCGGUGGCGAAGGCGGCCCCCUGGACAAAGACUGACGCUCAGGUGCGAAAGCGUGGGGAGCAAACAGGAUUAGAUACCCCUGUAGUCCCUGUCUCUUAUAC
rnacentral:rRNA from 1 species